rnacentral:rRNA from 1 species
UACGGGGGGGGCAAGCGUUGUUCGGAAUUACUGGGCGUAAAGGGCUCGUAGGCGGCCAACUAAGUCGGAUGUGAAAUCCCCAGGCUUAACCUGGGAACUGCAUCCGAUACUGGAUGGCUUGAAUCCGGGAGAGGGAUGCAGAAUUCCUGGUGUAGCGGUGAAAUGCGCAGAUAUCAGGAAGAACACCCGUGGCUAAGGCGGCUCUCUAGUACGGUACUGACGCUGAGACGCGAAAGCGUGGGGAGCGAACAGG